AUAAUUAUUUUCGCAUUUCUGCAAACGACAUUCCAUAGACUUGGCGUGUGUGAAAAUAGACGAAACCCCAUGCCUCGCGGCCGUAAACGGGGGGAAUGCGUCUCUAAAGGUGCACGGGUGUGAAAUGAAUUAAGAAGGGGCGUGCACUUGCAAAAGGCCAGCACAACCCCGAAACUCGUUAAUGAUCCUUCCGCAGGUUCACCUACGGAAA
rnacentral:misc_RNA from 1 species